rnacentral:rRNA from 1 species
AACGAACGCUGGCGGCAUGCCUAACACAUGCAAGUCGAACGAGACCUUCGGGUCUAGUGGCGCACGGGUGCGUAACGCGUGGGAACCUGCCCUUAGGUUCGGAAUAACUCCCCGAAAGGGGUGCUAAUACCGGAUAAUGUCUUCGGACCAAAGAUUUAUCGCCUUUGGAUGGGCCCGCGUUGGAUUAGCUAGUUGGUAGGGUAAAAGCCUACCAAGGCGACGAUCCAUAGCUGGUCUGAGAGGAUGAUCAACCACACUGGGACUGAGACACGGCCCAGACUCCUACGGGAGGCAGCAGUGGGGAAUAUUGGACAAUAGGCGAAAGCCUGAUCCAGCAAUGCCGCGUGAGUGAUGAAGGCCUUAGGGUUGUAAAGCUCUUUUACCCGGGAUGAUAAUGACAGUACCGGGAGAAUAAGCUCCGGCUAACUCCGU